UGAAGCCCUGAUAGUUUUCAGAUGUGCCUACUACGCUUCUGGGCCAGGACACUCUUUCAGAGGAGUUGCUUGGACUCUCAGCUACAAAACUUGAGGAGAGCAGAGAAGAUGAAAUGACUUGGAGGUGAUCUGAAAACCAUCUGUAAAAGAAAUAUAUAUGUUUGAAGCAUGUAGAUUAAGAGAAGAAAGCUGAUGAAUCAGGACAAAAACUCUAUGGAGAAAAGAUGCAAAAUACCAUAGUUUGCAAAGAAGGGAGCACAGCACUGAAAAAACAUGUGUUUCUCUACAAAUUACAGCCACAUAUUUUAACAGUGCAGGUCACAAAACAGUCAUAGAACAGAGGUGGGGAUGGUGUAGAUCUUCUGUCAUUUAAAAUCUUCUUUGUAAAAGGUAUGUUCCAGCUCAACUGCAGCUUGAGGCAAAGAUCACAGUGGUGUUUGUUUCCUUUCCGUAAAGAAGACAGCAGCUCUGGAUGCUGAUCAAACAAAGCUUGGCAGAGUCCCAAGCACAGUAUCUUGUUCUGGGACUACACUCAGCAUGAUCUUCUCAUUUACCUCAGAGGCAUUCAGUCUUCAAAACCCAGGAGCAUCCCUCGUUGGGAGAUGAAGCUGCAGAAGAAUUUUGAAGAGAUUGAAUCUGGGGACGCUUCUGGCUCAGAUAGUAUUAAUGACGUGGUGGCUUUGGGAAAUGACAAGCUCCUCAGUCUGGUGCUGGAAGAAUUAGAAGGGUUUCAAAUGUGGGAAAAUGAUGGAGAAGCAGCUUUGAAAUGGUUAUUCAUCUCCAUCAAAUACACCCACUGGACAACUGGGACAGAUGUGAGCUGCAAAGGAAGGUACCUCCCAUGGUCAGCCCUGCAGCCCUGCAAAAGUUAGAAAUGAAUGGGGAGAAGAAAUGGCAAAGCUGGCAACAUCUUUAUGAUCUCUAAAGAGGAUCCACAGCCCGGGUGCGGAAUCCUGUCCUACUACAGGUUUUAGAAACGCUUCUAUCCCACCUCUGUGUCUUUGGGCACAGUCCAGCAACAUUCAGUGGUGUCUGGGAGAGAGGUGAAGAAACUAUACCUGAACGAUGACAUUAAUACCUAAAUACCUAACUUGCUGGCAGCAUGGGCUGUGUUAUGUGGUGGUCUGCCUGUUCCUGCUUUACCCAGAGAGCACCAACAGCAAGCUGGACGUAUCCUCAGAUGGCUGCAGAAGUCAGGCUGCGAGAGCUGCCCUGUGGCAGGUGAACUGUGCUGUGAGUGAGCUUCUUGAGGGCUGUCCUUACCUGGGUGUAAAUACGUGCUGUGUGACGUUGCAGUCCUAAUUUCCUUCACUUCCUCCAUUCCUGCUGAGACCAUGACACAGUGCAAGAAGUGUGACAGUUCUUCUGUUGGGAGUUGAGCUCCAGUUUUGUCCAAACAAAUACAGAGGCUGUCUAACCUUACUUGAGGUGAAAAAGAAAGAUGCUCUGAUUAGCAAGAGACGUGAGGCUGCUGUACAGAGCGCUGUACAUGUGUGAGGCACUGCACGUGCAGUCUGUGGAUGAUGAUGUGAAAGUUUUCCCUUUACAUAGCUGAGAUAUUUGCAAAACCAUGUGAAGGGGCAGCUGGAUGAGUUCCUUCAUAUUGCCCAGGACUCUGUGUAGUCAUCCAGCUGCUCAGUCAACAUUUCAUAAUGGAUAAUUUAUAAUGGUUAAUUAACAGACUGUAUA